AACGACAACCACUGAAUCACAGGCUCCUGACCUGAAUGUUCUUAAUAUACUAAAUGUAUGUUCAUAUUGAAAUUAAUAGAAAACAAAAAAAUGGGAAUUUGGGAAAUACAGGAGGGAGAAAAAAAAAUUUCCUGUCCCCAAGUACUUAUGACUUUUGAUACUUUUCCUGAAAUUCUCCAGUCAUUAAAUCUUUUGCAAAAUUCUUCCUACAACACUUUACAUACUUUCAACACGCUCUGAUUGCCCGCGAUUUCGCGGGUGUGUUCUAGUUA
rnacentral:lncRNA from 1 species